GACGAACGCUGGCGGCGUGCUUAACACAUGCAAGUCGAGCGGUAAGGCCUCUUCGGGGGUACACGAGCGGCGAACGGGGGAGUAACACGUGGGUGACCUGCCCUCAGCUCUGGGAUAAGCCUGGGAAACUGGGUCUAAUACCCGAUAUGACCUUUCCUCGCAUGGGGUUGGGUGGAAAGUUUUUUCGGCUGGGGAUGGGCCCGCGGCCUAUCAGCUUGUUGGUGGGGCGAUGGCCUACCCAGGCGACGACGGGUAGCCGGCCUGGGAGGGCGACCGGCCACACUGGGACUGAGGCACGGCCCGGACUCCUUCGGGAGGCAGCAGUGGGGAAUCUUGCGCAAUGGGCGGAAGCCUGACGCAGCGACGCCGCGUGGGGGAUGACGGCCUUCGGGUUGUAAACCUCUUUCGACCCCGACGAAUUUGGACGGUAGGGGUAGAAGAAGCACCGGCCAACUACGUG
rnacentral:rRNA from 1 species